AUUGAACGCUGGCGGAAUGUCUUUACACAUGCAAGUCGAACGGUAGAGGGGGCAACCCUUGAGAGUGGCGAACGGGUGAGUAAUAUAUCGGAACGUGCCCAGUCGUGGGGAUAACGUAGCGAAAGUUACGCUAAUACCGCAUACGAUCUAUGGAUGAAAGCGGGGGACCGUAAGGCCUCGCGCGAUUGGAGCGGCCGAUAUCAGAUUAGGUAGUUGGUGGGGUAAAGGCUCACCAAGCCAACGAUCUGUAGCUGGUCUGAGAGGACGACCAGCCACACUGGAACUGAGACACGGUCCAGACUCCUACGGGAGGCAGCAGUGGGGAAUUUUGGACAAUGGACGCAAGUCUGAUCCAGCCAUUCCGCGUGCAGGAUGAAGGCCCUCGGGUUGUAAACUGCUUUUGUACGGAACGAAAAGGUUUCUCUUAAUACGAGGAGCUCAUGACGGUACCGUAAGAAUAAGCACCGGCUAACUACGUG
rnacentral:rRNA from 1 species